rnacentral:rRNA from 1 species
GGGUCAUUAGGUUGGUCGUGCCACCGGUACGUACUGGUCUCACUGAUUCCUCCUUCCUGAGGAAGCGUAAUGCCAUUAAUUUGGUGUUGCGGGGAAACAGGACUGUUACUUUGAAAAAAUUAGAGUGUUUAAAGCAAGCUAACGCUUGAAUACAUUAGCGUGGAAUAAUGAAAUAGGACGAUCGAUCCUAUUUUGUUGGUUUCUAGGAUUGACGUA